UAAUACAGAGGGUGCGAGCGUUAAUCGGAUUUACUGGGCGUAAAGCGUGCGUAGGCGGCUUCUUAAGUCGGAUGUGAAAUCCCUGAGCUUAACUUAGGAAUUGCAUUCGAUACUGGGAAGCUAGAGUAUGGGAGAGGAUGGUAGAAUUCCAGGUGUAGCGGUGAAAUGCGUAGAGAUCUGGAGGAAUACCGAUGGCGAAGGCAGCCAUCUGGCCUAAUACUGACGCUGAGGUACGAAAGCAUGGGGAGCAAACAGGAUUAGAUACCCUGGUAGUCCAUGCCGUAAACGAUGUCUACUAGCCGUUGGGGCCUUUGAGGCUUUAGUGGCGCAGCUAACGCGAUAAGUAGACCGCCUGGGGAGUACGGUCGCAAGACUAAA
rnacentral:rRNA from 1 species